AGAGAUCAUGGCUCAGGAUCAACGCUGGCGGCGUGCCUAAUGCAUGCAAGUCGAACGGGGUCGCUUUCGGGCGACUUACGUGGCGGACGGGUGAGGAACACGUGGGCAAGCUGGCCCGAGGUGGGGGGUAGCCCGCGGAAACGCGGGGUAAUUCCGCAUGUGCGCACCGAGUCGUGGGCUGGGUGCGGAAAGGGAUCUUCGGAUCUCGCCUGGGGGGGCGCCUGCGGCCGAUUAGCUAGUUGGGGGGGUAACGGCUUCCCAAGGCGGUGAUCGGUAGCUGGUCUGAGAGGACGGCCAGCCACACGGGGACUGAGACACGGCCCCGACUCCUACGGGAGGCAGCAGCAAGGAAUUUUCCGCAAUGGGGGACACCCUGACGGAGCAACGCCGCGUGCGGGAUGACGCGUUUCGGCGUGUAAACCGCUUUUCUUGGGGACGACGAACGACGGUACCCGAGGAAGAAGGCCCGGCUAACUACGUGCCAGCAGCCGCGGUAAUACGUAGGGGCCGAGCGUUGUCCGGAGUUAUUGGGCGUAAAGCGCGCGCAGGCGGCUUCGCGCGCCCGCCGUGAAAGCCCCCGGCUUAACCGGGGAGAGUCGGUGGGGACGGCGAGGCUUGAGGGCGGGAGAGGGCGGUGGAAUUCCCGGUGUAGUGGUGAAAUGCGUAGAGAUCGGGAGGAACACCUGUGGCGAAGGCGGCCGCCUGGGCCGACCCUGACGCUGAGGCGCGAAGGCGUGGGGAGCGAACGGGAUUAGAUACCCCGGUAGUCCACGCAGUAAACGAUGCCGACUAGGCGUGGGUGGACUUGACCCCAUCCGUGCCGGAGCUAACGCGGGAAGUCGGCCGCCUGGGGAGUA
rnacentral:rRNA from 1 species